AUCGAACGCUGGCGGCAGGCCUAACACAUGCAAGUCGAACGAGUGGCGGACGGGUGAGUAAUGUCUGGGAAAUUGCCCGAUGGAGGGGGUUCACUACUGGAAACGGUAGCUAAUACCGCAUACCAUCGGAUGUGCCCAGAUGGGAUGAGCUUGUAGGUGGGGUAACGGCUCACCUAGGCGAAGAUCCCGAGCUGGUCUGAGAGGAUGACCAGGCACACGGGAACUGAGGGACGGUCCAGACGCCUACGGGAGGCAGCAGUGGGGAAUAUGGCACAAUGGGCGCAAGCCUGAUACAGCCAUGCCGCGUGUAUGAAGAAGGCCGUCGGGUUGUAAAGUACUUUAAGCGGGGAGGCGGUACCCGCAGAAGAAGCACCGGCUAACUCCGUGCCAGCAGCCGCGGUAAUAC
rnacentral:rRNA from 1 species